GCAUUAAUGGGGUAGUGGUAACCUCGAUCGUUGCCAAUCAACUAUCUCGUUGAUCCGAGUCGAUCGGCCCCCGGUUCAAUUCCGGGUUAAUGCA